rnacentral:lncRNA from 14 species
CAUUUUUAUGCCAUUUUUGGUCACUUCGAUGUCACUUUUUGUCACUUUAAUGCCAUUUUUGGCCACUUUAAUGCCAUUUUUGAUCAUUUUUAUGCCAUUUUUCAUCACUUUAAUGCCAUUUUUUGUCACUUUAAUGCCAUUUUUUGUCACUUUAAUGCCAUUUAUGAUCAUUUUUAUGCCAUUUUUAGUCAUUUUUGGUCGCUUUAAUCCCAUUUUUGGUGACUUUAAUGCCAUUUUUGAUCAUUUUUAUGCCAUUUUUUAUCAUUUUUAUGCCAUUUUUGCUCACUUUAAUGCCAUUUUUUCUCCAUUGAAGCCACUUCAAGGUAACUUUUCUCCAUUUCCUGUAACUUCGCCUCCCUGUGCCCCCAUUUUGGGGGGAUUUCAGUCACUUUUGGGUCGUUUUACUCCGUUUUGAGGCAUUUUCCUUCCAUUUUGGGGGGAUUUGGCUCGGUUUUGGGCGGUUUCAGGUGAACUGCACUCCAUUUUGGGGCAGUUUCUCUCCAUUUUGGGUCAUUUUCACUCCAUUUUGGGUCAUUUUCCCUCCAUUUUGGGUCGGUUUCUCUCCAUUUUGGGUCGGUUUCUCUCAAUUUUGGGUCGGUUUCUCUCAGUUUUGGGUGGUUUCACGUUGGUUUCUCUCCAUUUUGGGCCAUUUUCACUCCAUUUUGGGCCAUUUUCCCUGGGUUUUGGGGCUGAUUUUGGGCCGGUUUCCCUGGGUUUUGGGGCUGAUUUUGGGCCAGUUUCACUGCGUUUUGGGGCUGACUUUGGGCCAUUUUCACUCUGUUUUGGGGCUGAUUUUGGGCCGAUUUGAGUGGUUUUUGGGGCUGAUUUUGGGCCAUUUUCACUGGGUUUUUGGGGCUGAUUUUGGGCCAUUUUCUCUCCAUUUUGGGCCAUUUUCCCUGGGUUUUGGGGCUGAUUUUGGGUCAGUUUCACUCGGUUUUGGGGCUGAUUUUGGGCCAUUUUCAGUGGGUUUUGGGGCUGACUUUGGGCCGGUUUCUCUCAGUUUUGGGGCUGAUUUUGGGCCAUUUUCUCUCAAUUUUGGGCCAUUUUCACUCUGUUUUGGGGCUGAUUUUGGGCCGAUUUGAGUGGUUUUUGGGGCUGAUUUUGGGUCAUUUUCUCUCCAUUUUGGGCCAUUUUCUCUCCAUUUUGGGCCAUUUUCACUCCGUUUUGGGGCUGACUUUGGGCCGGUUUGAGUGGGUUUUGGGGCUGAUUUUGGGUCAGUUUCACUGCGUUUUGGGGCUGACUUUGGGCCAUUUUCUCUCAAUUUUGGGCCAUUUUCACUCUGUUUUGGGGCUGAUUUUGGGCCGAUUUGAGUGGUUUUUGGGGCUGAUUUUGGGUCAUUUUCUCUCCAUUUUGGGCCAUUUUCACUCCGUUUUGGGGCUGAUUUUGGGCCGAUUUGAGUGGAUUUUGGGGCUGAUUUUGGGUCAGUUUCACUCGUGUUUGGGGCUGAUUUUGCGCCAUUUUCUCUCAAUUUUGGGCCAUUUUCCCUGGGUUUUGGGGCUGAUUUUGGGUCAGUUUCACUCCAUUUUGGGGCUGAUUUUGGGCCAUUUUCUCUCAAUUUUGGGCCAUUUUCACUCCGUUUUGGGGCUGAUUUUGGGCCGAUUUGAGUGGAUUUUGGGGCUGAUUUUGGGUCAGUUUCACUCGGUUUUGGGGCUGAUUUUGCGCCAUUUUCUCUCCAUUUUGUGCCAUUUUCUCUGCAUUUUGGGCCAUUUUCUCUGCAUUUUGGGCCAUUUUCUCUCCAUUUUGUGCCAUUUUCUCUCCAUUUUGCGCCAUUUUCUCUCCAUUUUGCGCCAUUUUCUCUCCAUUUUGCGCCAUUUUCUCUCCAUUUUGUGCCAUUUUCUCUCCAUUUUGGGCCAUUUUCUCUCCAUUUUGGGCCGGUUUCACUCCGUUUUGGGGCUGGCUUUGUGCCCUGCUCUCCAGCGCCGCAGGUUGAGCGCCAGCAGCGCCAGGUUCACGCCGUACGUGCUGAGGCACACCACGCACAGGUCCUCGAAGUUUUGGGGACAUUUCACUCAGUUUUGGGCAACCUCAGUCCAUUUUGCGUCAGUUUCCCUCCAUUUUGGGUCAUUUUGAGUCGGUUUCUCUCCAUUUUGGGGCUGAUUUUGGGUCAGUUUCUCUCCAUUUUGGGCCAUUUUUGGGUCAUUUUCACUCAGUUUUCGGUCAUUUUCUCUCCAUUUUGGGUCAGUUUUCUCUCCAUUUUGGGUCGGUUUCAGUUUCAGUCCGUUUUAGGUCCGUUUUCUCUCAGUUUUGGGUGGUUUCCGUUGGUUUCACUCCAUUUUGAGCCAUUUUGAGUCAUUUUCACUCAGUUUUCAGUCAGUUUCUCUCCAUUUUCGGUCAGUUUCUCUCCAUUUUGGGUCAUUUUUGGGUCAUUUUCCCUGGGUUUUGGGGCUGAUUUUGGGGCUGAUUUUGGGCCGGUUUCACUCAGUUUUGGGCCUGGCUUUGGGCCAUUUUCUCUCAAUUUUGGGCCAUUUUCCCUGGGUUUUGGGGCUGAUUUUGGGCCGGUUUCACUCCAUUUUGGGGCUGAUUUUGGGCCAUUUUCUCUCAAUUUUGGGCCAUUUUCAGUGGGUUUUGGGGCUGAUUUUGGGUCAGUUUCACUCCAUUUUGGGGCUGAUUUUGGGCCAUUUUCUCUCAAUUUUGGGUCAGUUUCACUGGGUUUUGGGGCUGACUUUGGGCCAUUUUCAGUGGGUUUUGGGGCUGACUUUGGGCCAUUUUCAGUGGGUUUUGGGGCUGAUUUUGGGUCAGUUUCACUCGGUUUUGGGGCUGAUUUUGGGUCAGUUUCACUCGGUUUUGGGGCUGAUUUUGCGCCAUUUUCUCUCCAUUUUGUGCCAUUUUCUCUCCAUUUUGUGCCAUUUUCUCUCCAUUUUGGGCCAUUUUCUCUCCAUUUUGGGCCAGUUUCACUCCGUUUUGGGGCUGGCUUUGUGCCCUGCUCUCCAGCGCCGCAGGUUGAGCGCCAGCAGCGCCAGGUUCACGCCGUACGUGCUGAGGCACACCACGCACAGGUCCCUGAGGCCGAAGAGCAGCACGGCGCCGAGCCAGAGCGAGGCCAGCGCCGCGCACACCGAGGUGCCCACGAGCGCCCGCGCGCCGCCGGGGACCGGGACGUGCCUGCGGGGGGUGUGAGAUGUCACCGAAAUGGUGCCAAAAAUGGCGCCAAAAAUGGUGCCGAAAUGGCGCCAAAGGGGUCACCAAAAAGGCACCAAAAUGGUGCCAAAAAUGGUGCCAAAAAUGGUGCCCAAAUGGUGCCAAAAUGGUGCCCAAAUGGUGCCAAAAAUGGCACCGAAAUGGUGCCAAAAUGGUGCCAAAAUGGGGCCAAAAAUGGCACCGAAAUGGUGCCAAAAUGGUGCUAAAAAUGGUGCCAAAAUGACGCCAAAGGGGUCACCAAAAUGGCACCAAAAUGGUGCCAAAAAUGGUGCCAAAAAUGGUGCCCAAAUGGUGCCCAAAUGGUGCCAAAAUGGCGCCAAAAAUGGCACCGAAAUGGUGCCAAAAUGGUGCUAAAAAUGGUGCCAAAAAUGGUGCCCAAAUGGUGCCAAAAUGGUGCCCAAAUGGUGCCAAAAAUGGCGCCAAAAUGGUGCCAAAAUGGGGCCAAAAUGGGGCCAAAAAUGGCACCGAAAUGGUGCCAAAAUGGUGCUAAAAAUGGUGCCAAAAAUGGUGCCAAAAUGACGCCAAAGGGGUCACCAAAAUGGCAGCAAAAUGGUGCCAAAAUGGUGCCGAAAUGGUGCCAAAAUGGCGCCAAAAAUGGCACCGAAAUGGUGCCAAAAUGGUGCUAAAGUGGUGCCAAAAUGUUACCGAAAUGGUGCCGAAAUGGCGCCAAAAUGUCAUCAAAAUGUCACUGAAAUGGUGCCAAAAUGGUGGCAAAAUGGUGGCAAAAUGGUGGCAAAAUGGCACCGAAAUGGCACCAAAAUGGCACCAAAGGGGUCACCAAAAUGGCGCCGAAAUGGCACCAAAAAUGGCACCGAAAUGGCACUGAAAUGGUGCCAAAAUGGCACCGAAAUGCGCCGAAAUGGGGCCGAAAUGGCGCUAAAGGGGUCACCAAAAUGGCACCAAAGUGGUGCCAAAAUGGCACCGAAAUGGUGCCAAAAAUGGUGCCAGAAAUGUCAGCGAAAUGGCACCAAAAAUGUCACCGAAAUGGCACCAAAAAUGGCACCAAAAUGGCUCGAAAUGGCACCAAAAUGGCUCCGAAAUGGCACCAAAAAUGGCGCCGAAAUGGCGCCAAAAAUGGCACCAAAGUGGCACCAAAAUGGCUCCGAAAUGGCACCCAGGGGGUCACCGAAAUGGCACCAAAAUGUCAUUGCGGGGUCCCCAGUGUCCCC